AUCGAACCCCGACCUCCUGGUUCAUGGGUCGACACUCAACCACUGAGCCACACCAGCUGGGUGCCACACCCAUUCUACAAAGGCUGGAAGCCCGAAUCUGACACUCCUGGCUGUGGACUUCUGGCAAAUCACUACCCCCCUUGGAGCCUCUGUUUCCUCAUCUGUAAAAUGGGGAUAAGGAUACCCUUUCCACUGGGCUGCUGUGAGGACCCAACGGGAUUUGAAAAGCCUUGACGCCCCUAUCACGCCGGAAAAACAGACAUUCUGGCUGGGCCUUAGUGUACAUAGCAACUAUCUGGCCCAUCUCUUCCCCCACCAGGAGCAGGCCUCUUCCUCAAGGCCAAAUAAAGAGAGUGACUCAUGUCAGACCAGACCCAGUGGCUACAGGCUACAACCUUUGUCAAGGUCCGGCCACACCCUGCUUUCAUGACUCUGUUCGCCUUUUCCCCAUUGGGGACCUACCCACUUGCAGGCCUGCUUCACUAGUUUAAACAGCCUGAGGCUGGUCUUCCUAGUGGCUAGGGCUGCUCCUGGGGCCAGGGGGUGGGGUGAUAGGUGUGUGCGUGUGGGGUAACCUGUCCCUGUUCCUGGGUACGUUGGUGGACAGAAGACAGUUUACUGGGGACAUGGUCUCAGUGUCUGGGGACAAGUCUUCAUUUAGCCACAGGUGACCCAGAUGAUAAUGUGCAGAUCGGAGGGCUGAUAUUUCAUGGGGGAAACUGAGGCGUAGCGAUAGGGCGUGACUGGCCCAACUCCCUAACACUCUGUCAAUAGGUCAUAGGGCCUCUGUCCUGAGCCUGGGGGACUGCUCUGACCGAAGGACGGAAGGAACCAUGGGGACAGUUCUGUGGAGGGUGAGGCCCCUGGGGACAGUAAAUGGCUGAGGUGCUGGCAGUGCCUGGCAGGGUCUGGCAGGGGGCCUGGCCCUUCAUAGUGAUGAGAAAGGAGAUGGAAUGGUUGGGCUGCAUGUAGAGCUGGGUUAGGGCUGUGAGUGGAGAGGAGGGGCUCCUUCCUCUAUUAGCAAAACGUCACUUUGUGGGCAUCCUUGCAGGGCCCUCUCAUCCACCCACCCACUAGGAUGAGAUUGUGAGGGGCAAGGAUUCAGCCUCUGACACCGCCUGCAGAUGCUCACACGGAGAGAGGGAUUCCAUCCUAUUUUUUUCUUCUGGGUGGCAGUUGCUAAAUGUCUCAUGGGCAAGUUACUUGCCUCCCUGCGGCUCGGAUUCCCAUCAUGGAUCAUUCAUGGGGGUUGGAGGGUAGGAGGUUGUCCU